UGGCCCGUGGUCCAACGGUACGAUAUCUCUGCUCCCUGCUCCAUGUCGCUGGUUGUAUGUUGGAGAAGAUGUGGGUUCAAUUCCCGCCGGGUCGC